GUGACAAAUAUUUUUUAUCAAUGUAAAUAUAUAUUUGGUGAUGAAACAUUUAUUUCAUCAACAUAUAUCUUUAAUAUCUAUUAUUUGUGAUGAGCAUUAUGAAAGAUUUUUUUCAUCAUAAAAGACUUUUGGUGCAAAAAUUGAUCCAUCAUGAUGUUUUAUCAUCGUGAGUAGUUCUUUCUAUCAUAAUGUUCCAUUUUCUUAUUUACAAACAUACUAACAUAGUUGAAAUAUAGCCUUAGCAUGCAACAAAAAUUAAGCUUGAUAGCAAUUGUUAGAUUUAUUGAUUGGCGCAUCUCUUGUCACUAUGCAAAUAAGUAGAUAGCAACAAAAGAGGAGGGGAG
rnacentral:lncRNA from 1 species